rnacentral:rRNA from 1 species
ACUGGCGGCAUGCCUAAGACAUGCAAGUCGAACGAAGUGGCCCAACAAAAACUGAGUGCUUGCACAAAGUUGGCGAUGGAAUUUCCACUUAGUGGCAGACGGGUGAGUAACACGUAAGUAAUCUACCCUCGAGUUUGGGAUAAUGUCUGGAAACGGACACUAAUACCGGAUAAUUCAUAUUUAGAUAACUGGAUAUGCUAAAAGGAGCGUUUGCUUCGCUUGAGGAUGAGCUUGCGGCGUAUUAACUAGUUGGUGGGGUAAUGGCCUACCAAGGUGACGAUGCGUAGCCGAACUGAGAGGUUGAUCGGCCACAUUGGGACUGAGACACGGCCCAAACUCCUACGGGAGGCAGCAGUUAGGAAUAUUCGUCAAUGGGGGAAACCCUGACGGAGCAACGCCGCGUGAGUGAAGAAGGUUUUUUCCGGAUCGUAAAACUCUGUUGUCAGAGAAGAACAAGUUGGAGAGUAACUGCUCCAGCCUUGACGGUAUCUGACCAGAAAGCCACGGCUAACUACGUGCCAGCAGCUGC